UCUGGUGGCAAUAGCAAAGAGGUCACACCUGUUCCCAUGCCGAACACAGAAGUUAAGCUCCUUAGCGCCGAUGGUAGUCGGACUAACGUUCCGCUAGAGUAGGACGUUGCCAGGC
rnacentral:rRNA from 1 species